rnacentral:lncRNA from 1 species
CCGCGAACACCGCUGAGCUCUACCUUCUCCCAUACUGAUUUUACAGCCGCAGAGACUAAGUCCCAUUCGGCGAUGGGACUUAGUCGUUUUUUCAGCCUGAAAUAGACCGGCCGCACAGCCCAAAUCUAUGGAACUGUUUUGGGCAGGAAAAUGUGCUUGCGGUCGGUCAUAAAGGGACCUCCAGCUAACUUUUUAACCCCUGGAUGGAUUUGGCUGAU